UACGUAGGGUGCAAGCGUUGUCCGGAAUUAUUGGGCGUAAAGAGCUCGUAGGCGGUCUGUUGCGUCGGCUGUGAAAACCCGGGGCUCAACUCCGGGCCUGCAGCCGAUACGGGCAGACUAGAGUUCGGCAGGGGAGACUGGAAUUCCUGGUGUAGCGGUGAAAUGCGCAGAUAUCAGGAGGAACACCGGUGGCGAAGGCGGCAUCCUGGACCAUUACUGACACUGAUCCGCGAAAGCUAGGGGAGCAAACGGG
rnacentral:rRNA from 1 species